rnacentral:rRNA from 1 species
GAUGAAGGUUUUCGGAUCGUAAAACUCUGUUGUUAGGGAAAAACAGAGUACCGUUCAAAUAGGGCGGUACCUUGACGGUACCUAACCAAAAAGCCACGGCUAACUACGUGCCACCACCCGCGGUAAUACUUAGGUGGCAAGCGUUGUCCGGAAUUAUUGGGCGUAAAGCGCGCGCAGGCGGUUUCUUAAUUCUGAUGUGAAAGCCCCCGGCUCAACCGGGGAGGGUCAUUGGAAACUGGGGAACUUGAGUGCAGAAAAGGAAAGUGGAAUUCCACGUGUAGCGGUGAAAUGCUUAGAGAUGUGAAGGAACACCAGUGCCAAAGGCAACUCUCUGGUCUGUAACUGACGCUAAGGCGCG